AAUGAGGACAAGUUUAAGCGGAUAAGCAUUCUUAUGUGCUUUGGUGCCACUGUCGGCUUGGAAUUAGUAAGAAGCUCAGGAACAUUUGUUGAAAUGGCUGAGGCUGCUGAUUUGAUACAACGAAGGCAGCGUUCUGACUUUCAAUCAAGUAUCAAGGAUACCUUAUACAAGGCUAUCAAGG